UAGCUCAGUUGGUAGAGUGCUUGCCUCACAUGCAUAGGGCCCUGGGUUCAAUUCCCAG
rnacentral:tRNA from 1 species